rnacentral:lncRNA from 1 species
ACAUGGCUAUGAUUGGUUAUAUGAGUUUGUGAAAUUACAAACCUAAUUUCUGGGUGGUGUCAAAGAUGGGAUUACCUGAAACGGAUUCCCACGUUGCUUUGUGAUUUGGUGAUUAUGGUUCUUGACUUCUCUAAGAGAGGAAUAAAAGUGCCACACUCACUAAUGACCAAAUUGGUCAGUUCCACUCAUAUGCCCCCUAUAGCCUCUUUACCAUCUAGCCUUUCCAGAGUUAACCUAUUGUAAAAUUAGAUUGUAAAAAUGGACAGAGUGGCCACCACUCUGGGAUAAGGGUGAAGGACUCAUGGUGUCAUCCCCACUAAAUACUCCAGUGGAAAUUAUCACUUAAUUAUUUGUGAUAUCACCCAGCUCCCCAAAGAGCUGGCCUUCCUUUUCAGCCCCAGUUAUCUUUUGGAAGUGUAACUCUUUCAGUUUGAUUGUCCUGGGAACACAUGCAGUUUUCUCUUGAUGGGGAAACCCCUCUCUGAAGGUCUGCGUUUUAAGUGGCAGAGAUGCAAAAACAGCCUUCUAGACAGAGUUUCUAAUUGAAUUCUCCUCUAUACCGUUAUCCAUAAACUGAGUAAUGCAUCCAAGGAAGAAGAGAGGAUGAGAGAGGUCAGGAAGUUUAGAUUCCAGUAAAAUUUAAAUAGCCACUGAAUUUGCCAUAGCAAAACAUGAGCUAUGAUUCUGUUAGUACACAGGAAAAGUCAAUUAGGUGAACUGAUUUUUUAUGGUGUUGGGAAUAUUAUAAUUCAGGGAUUCUUAACCUAUAGCUUAACCUAUAGGCAAUUUAAGACUAGAUUUCAGGGGUAGGGCAGUGAAACUUCUAAAAUUGCUGUAACAUUUUUUAUUAAGUCAUAGGCAGUUUCCUAGGGAGAGGCUUUUAUCAAAUUCUCAGAAGGGUCCACUGCCAUAAAAGAUUAAGGAACCACUGCAUUCUAUCAUCAUAAUUUUUUGUCUUCUUUCAAAAGUUGAUAUUCUGGUUUUUUUUAUGCAGAAAAGACAAAAGCAUGUACAACUCUGAUAUUUCAUGAUCUUUAAUUUCUUCCCCCUCCUGGAUGUCCUAUAAUAAAUGUACAGGAAAGAAAUAUAAAACGCUAUCCAAACUCAGUUAAUAGCUCUGAGAAAUGCACACUCAGAGUGCUUUAAAAUCAGGUUACAAAUAUCAUUUUCAAUUUGCUGGGGAGAAAAUAGGAAGAGUCCCUUGGAAUACAGAAUAAAUUCAUUCUAUGUACAUUAUCAGUGUUGGUUCAUUAUAUUCUCAUUGGCCCACAACUCAACACAUCUUUAAGAAGCAAAAGUGCAUACACUCUCCCUUACUGACAAUAUUUAGGGGAAGACCACAUACUUUGUGAACUACUGUGAGUUGAGUUCUUGUAGUCAAAGCAGUAGUAGGUGGAGCUUCAUUCUCUGGUAUUAAAAUCCUAAAAGUGAGUAGUGUUAUUAAUUGGGGGCACUUUUGAGAUUUGAUUAAGAAAUUUACUGCUCUUGUGGGUUGUUUCCUCCCUUGUGGGAUGUUCUGGAUGAAUGUCAAGGUCUAGCCCCGGCAGAUUCCAGAAAGCUUGUCCAUCUAAAUUUGCUGUUAAGCCAUGGGAACUUUUCUAUUGCAGUCUUUGGGUCAUGGUAACGUGUAAAGCCUAGAGUUUGUUGAAGGGCACUUUUCUCUCUCUAAAAUUCUCCAUUCCUCACAACUGGUUUUUAUUAUUCCGUGACAUGCUGGGAGUGUUGCUAUGACUGUUUGAGAAGUAUGGGCAGAUAUAUUGCUGGCUGGCUUCUUACAGGAAGAGUUUCCCAUGAUGGGAGUGAGAGACCCCUGGGGCCACCUGGAAACUGCCCACUCUUGUAAGAUGUUGCUCAGCGUUCUUGGGACCCAGGAAUUCACUGCUCCAAAGGCCCUGAGUUCACUUUCAAGGCUUGGUUCUGCAGGGUGUACUCAUGUGUGCACCCUGAGUCUUGAGGAGUAGACAAAGGGCUUUUGUGGAGGAUGAGGAGGGAGAUUGGAUGUGAGCACUGCUGUGUUCAUACGUGUGCUGUGUUCUGAUCCUUGAGAUUUGGAUCAGAGCCAGAGGUGGAAAGAGAAGAGGAUGGGGUGUAGUUGGGGCUGGCCUCCCUAUGCCACUGACUACUUGAGAGGAACAUUGAAGAACUGAAAAUUCUACAAUCGAAGUUGGCUUUCCAGGUUGUUAUAAAGAAGUAUUUGUCAAGACAGGAGGUAUAACAUAUUUCAUUUAAAAGUUUGCUAGCUUGUUUUAUAGCUUUUAAAUAUUUAGACACGCAUUUGAGUUUGAGGCCCCUGCCUGAGAAACACCAGAGUCAGCCUAGGAAACCUAGGGGAGGAGAUAGAAGUGACUCUUUUUAAUCUUAAAAAAAGUCUAGUCCUGAAAUUGUACCUGUUCCCCAUUUCAUCCAGGACUUGUCAUCAGCAUUUACUUCCACCUAUUAUACUAAGAAGUAGAGAGCAGCACCCGUUGUUGCAGACCAAGGAAGGGGGAGAUAAAAGGGAAAACCAGAGAGAGAAGGACAGAAAUCAUGCUGUUUCUUAAUUAAGCUGGGAAGGAGACAGGGGCUGGGAGCGGAAUGGCUUGUGGCUCAGCAUUUAUCACACAACUCCCCGCUCCACCCGGGGCCUGUGCCGGACAGGAGAGCCAAGUUGCUCAGAAUGGCUUUGCUGAUGUGCCAUUGCUGGGGUAAGUGGUUAUUGAUGAAGGGGCUUAAGUGGUAUGUGCCCUAGAGCUCACUCCCAGCCUCUGCAGUUUACCCCAUCUCCAGGAGCUUUGUUGCACAGUGCUGACCUCCAUGGGUCCUCUUGGCACCCAAGUCAAGGAAUCAUACCUUCUUCCUCCUGCCCUUCUCACACACACUGAGCUAGG